rnacentral:rRNA from 1 species
GAAUAAGCUACAAAGAGCGUACGGGGGAUGCCUUGGUACAUGGCGCCGAAGAAGGACGUGACAAGCUGCGAAAAGCUACGGGGAGUUGCAAAUAAGCGUUAAUCCGUAGAUGUCCGAAUGUGGAAACACAAUACAAGUAACGUUGUAUUAUCAUUGACUGAACAAAUAGGUUAAUGAGGGGAACCUGGGGAACUGAAACAUCUAAUUACCCAGAGGAAAAGAAAGUAAGGAAACGAUUCCGAAAGUAGUGGCGAGCGAAAUUGGAACAGCCCAAACCGUAUAUAGCAAUAUGUACGGGGUAAGGACUCUGAUAAGCCAAGAAGAAAGUUAGCAGAAGAGUGUUGGAAAGCACGACCGAAGAGGGUAAAAGUCCCGUAAGCGAAAACGUUCAAAAGGCGAAGAGAAUCCGGAGUACGUCGGGACACGAGGAAUCCUGACGGAAGGAUGGAGGACCAUCUCCAAAGGCUAAAUACGACCAUGUGACCGAUAGAGUAUAGUACCGUGAGGGAAAGGUGAAAAG